UGUCUCAGUACAUGCCUAAUUAAGGUGAAACCGCGAAUGGCUCAUUAAAUCAGUUAUGGUUCCUUAGAUCGUACCCACAUUUACUUGGAUAACUGUGGUAAUUCUAGAGCUAAUACAUGCAAACUAGAAUUCCGACCAGAGAUGGAAGGAAUGCUUUUAUUAGAUCAAAACCAAUCGGUGGUAUAUAAUUUAUUAUAUAUCCAUCGUUAAUUUUGAUGACUCUGAAUAACUUUGUGCUGAUCGCAUGGUCUUGUACCGGCGACGAAUCUUUCAAAUGUCUGCCUUAUCAACUGUCGAUGGUAGGUUCUGCGCCUACCAUGGUUGUAACGGGUAACGGGGAAUCAGGGUUCGAUUCCGGAGAGGGAGCCUGAGAAACGGCUACCACAUCCAAGGAAGGCAGCAGGCGCGCAAAUUACCCACUCCCGGCACGGGGAGGUAGUGACGAAAAAUAACGAUACGGGACUCAUCCGAGGCCCCGUAAUCGGAAUGAGUACACUUUAAAUCCUUUAACGAGGAUCCAUUGGAGGGCAAGUCUGGUGCCAGCAGCCGCGGUAAUUCCAGCUCCAAUAGCGUAUAUUAAAGUUGUUGCGGUUAAAAAGCUCGUAGUUGAAUUUGUGUGCCACGCUGUCGGUUCAUCGCUCGCGAUGUUUAACUGGCAUGAUUGUGGGACGUCCUACCGGUGGAUUUAGCUUUAUAUAUUUUUAAAUAUAUUUAGCGAUCCAGUUUAUAUCCCGUCGCGGUGCUCUUUAUUGAGUGUCGAGGUGGGCCGGUACGUUUACUUUGAACAAAUUAGAGUGCUUAAAGCAGGCUUUUUUUGCCUGAAUACUGUGUGCAUGGAAUAAUAAAAUAGGACCUCGGUUCUAUUUUGUUGGUUUUCGGAACCCCGAGGUAAUGAUAAUAGGGACAG
rnacentral:rRNA from 1 species